AAGACGCUUCCAUAAUAUGUUACAGUGAGAUAUUAUGUAUUAUGCAAUACAUUAGUAAUGUAUUUUGUGUGGCAGUAUUUUGCUAUCAGAGGUGGUCUGCCACUUUGUUGUCGAAGCAAUACUCUUACAUUCUCACAAACUGUUCUCUAAUCCCGUGCCCUUUAAUUUAAAUCUCCCCCAUCUACUUUUCUAUUGAUUUGUUUCAUUUUCCCUGAUUUCUUUUCAGUUCCUAUGUCUCUUUCUUAUGUGACUGCCAAGUUAUUAGUUUCUUGUUCUCAGACCCAUGCGUCCCAACAGCCAGUGCGGGCCAAGGAGUAAUGAUGAUGGAUCGAGACCCGCUGACACUGCAGCUGCCAGGGAGACCGGGAGGCCCCACGGCAACCGCCGCGCAUGCGCAGUGUCGGGCGGGAGCGGCGAGCCACCGGCCCUCUCUCUGUUCCCAAAUCCCUCACAGUGUACUUAAAGCCGAUUAAGUCUGGAAAUAACUUGAAUUAUUCAUUAUGUGCUAAUGUAUGGCACUGAUAACACAUUUUUAUAAGUUCGCAAACAUUAAAACCAUUUCACAUACCUUGGGCGUGUGAGAAAGGUGGAGAUGAGGCACACCUCAGAGACAUUGUGGGUUCAGUUCCAGAUGACUGCAAAACAGUGAAUAUAGCCAGAAAGCACUAACUUCUGUGCCCCUGCACUUCUCUGCUUUCGCUGUUUAUGGGAAGCUCCGGAGGGUGGAAAGAGCUCUAGAAUUAGAGUCAGAAGAUUCUGUUGUGAGUACUUACUUCAUGAUUUAGUCUCUAAAUAAUGAUUAUGACAAAUGCAUACAUGUUUAGUGCUCUGUGGUGUAUUAUAUGUAAAAUAGAGAGAAAUGUGAAGUGUUAUCCUUCCACCAGAAGAAUUAUAGCAAUUUCUAUCCCCAUCACCAAAUAUUUGCUACAGCUUAUUAGAUACAUUUUCUUCAUGUGGUAUUUUAUUUGCUUUAUUUUCUUAUAAGAAGAGGUUGGCAGAGAAAGCAACAAUUGAGGGAACAGGCUAACUUGUUCUUUUUCACCUCAAGAGCACAUGGAUCCCUUCUCUACUUAAAAUUGGAAGGAGGAAAAAGUAUAGUAACAGGGCUCAGUAUUUCUUUAAACUAGAGAAGUGAACUCUCUUAAUGUUAUCUCAGGAUAGUUGAUUGGGUGGUUAGUGAAGAUUAAGAUACUAAUUUUUUAAAUAGCAGCAUGUAGUACCCUAUACAGGUAGAAUAUAAAUUUAGAUAUUGAAUUUUAGUAGGCAAAAAAUCUCACAGGAAUAAUAGUCAGAAGGAACAAACCUCCCAUUGGCACAAUGGCCUUCUUGAAACCUUGUGUGUCACAGUGGAGCUGUUGGUGGUUCUGGGCAGAAACUGCGGUCAGUGACAGACAAACAGGUGUUUGGGUGGGGCCGUGAUGGAUGGUUGUACAGACUGGCCUCUGCCCACCAGUAUCCCACCUGAAGGGAUACUUCACACAGUGCACUUCACAGAUUUGUUAUUGGUUAUUUAUUAUGGACAAAUUUCUGGCAUGAAGUAGACAUGCAUCUUGAUCUAACAAAAUCAGGAUUUCACAACAAUUCUCUGACAGAUGGAUAUAAACUGGAAUAAGGGUGCCUUUUUCCAAUUCUUCACACAGGGCCAUAUGGGCUAGCGGUGGCAUGAGUUUACACUGAUAUGAUAAUUUACAAAUCCAAGAGAAUAGGAAUGGUAGAGAUAAUAUGUAGGAGUCCUACAGGAUAGAAAGAUGGAGGCGAUGUUAGAGGACAGGAGCAGAAAUUUGAAUGCCUGCAGGGCUCAGGAAUGAGAAGGGGCGGGCUGGGUUGUGGGCUUUAAAUGUGGACUUGCUUUGUUGACAUUGCAUCUGUAGAAGUUGUCAUCAUUUUCAUGGAGAAAUAAAACCUGUCUGCAGGGGUAGGUGCUGCUUGUCUGUUUUUUGCCCUAUGGAGACACAGUCUCAAAGUUGCUAGAUCUUCCACUUUUUUAAGGGACAUUAACAAUUUGGAUUUUUAUGUGAAACCUUUGAAUUUUGGAUAAGUGGCUUCUUUUAUUUAAUGUAACAUGUUAGCCAAAGAAAGCACAUCUCUGGGUUAAUACUGCCUGGGCACGACCAGGAUUUUUAACCUCAAUUAAAGAAAAGACUUCAGAGCUCCUAGGUAGAGGAAUAGGGCCACAUGGGUCACAAGACUGGCAUGUUGUAGGAGAUCAGUCAGUGCUCAAAUGUCUGAACAUUUCCCACUAAACAUAUCUAAGUUAAAUUUUUAACUUAAUUUGUUGGCAGUGCUUUCUCAGAAAACAUGGAGGAAACUGCAAUGAGACUGCACAUUUUAGACGGAGUUGCAGCAUCAGAAACAGUAACCCCAUCAUUACAGAAAUCUCAGUCAGCAUGAAAGGCAAUGCCAUGGUAAUCAGAUACACACCAUGGCUUUUAGGAAGACUGACCUCUGAGUUUAGAAAAAUGGCAGGCUACUGAUACCAUGAAGGAAUUUGAUUUAGGAUUCUGGAAGAAGGAAUUCUGACUGUUUGCCAAAUGUGAUGAUAUUAGGAAAGAAAAAUGGGUGAUAUCUAGCAAAAUCAAUUUAGGUGCUGUCCACUGAGUCCACAUUUUGAAAGGGGAAGUACAGAUGCUGAAGAAAAUGGCAACUAACAAAGGGCAAGUAUGAAUAAGAGAUAGGAAGCUAUAAAUAUUUUCAUAGCACUAAAGCAAGGAAUAAGCUGUGACUGAUUUUGUUAUAGCAUUAAUGAAUAAGUGAAUGGAUGGAUGGAUGGAUGGAUGAAUGAAAUAAUGAAGUAAGUAUAUUUUAUGAUCCUUAACAUUUUUCUGAGACCUGAAAGGAAAGUUAGGCCCACGGCUUAGGAUUGAUGGUGUAAUAUGAAUGGACAGUUAAGAAAAACAAUACUAUUCAACUGUUUAUUUUGGUUUCAGUUAUCACUAAACCAAGAAUAAAUAAUUAAAUUGAAGACAGUAAUGCAAUCAUUUCAGAGGUAAUGAAAACUCAAUAAAUGUAAGGAGAUAGUAAAGGGAUAUCUAGAUGCUUGAAAUGUUAGCUGGUACUUAACUGUGCACUUACAGUUUGCCAGGAAUAGAUUAAGUGCUUUACAAGUAUCAUCCCCUUCAUUUUUCUCAAUAAACCUAUGAUAUAAUUACAGUUAUUAAUUCCACUUUAUGUUUAAAGAAACGGAAGUUGGAGAUUUAAGAUUUAAGGAGU